UGUCUGCGUCUCGUCUCGUGGUUAUGACGCAGUUGUUAGCCUAUUUUUACAAAAACGUCUGCUAUGUAGCCAUAACAUGAGGUACAAGGUAAUGG